rnacentral:rRNA from 1 species
UACGAAGGGGGCUAGCGUUGCUCGGAAUCACUGGGCGUAAAGGGUGCGUAGGCGGGUCUUUAAGUCAGGGGUGAAAUCCUGGAGCUCAACUCCAGAACUGCCUUUGAUACUGAAGAUCUUGAGUCCGGGAGAGGUGAGUGGAACUGCGAGUGUAGAGGUGAAAUUCGUAGGUAUUCGCAAGAACACCAGUGGCGAAGGCGGCUCACUGGCCCGGUACUGACGCUGAGGCACGAAAGCGUGGGGAGCAAACAGG